CAUUGAGCAUCUACUGUGUGCCUGGCACUGUGGUCAAUGCCGUGAUAAUAAGGGACUUGCAGCUCAAGUAUAUCUGUGCUUCACUGGAAGAGCUGAAAGAGCUGGAGACUGUCUGUGAUCAGUGAGCCCCUGUCACUCUCAUGACACUUUCCUGAACCAUUUCACCAGCACUCAGAAAAUGAAGACUGUGCUCUACCUGUUCCUUCUCUGAAGCUAGAAGAUCUGGUGUUUCGACUUUGCCCCAGCCAAUUGACCACAUUGAGUGAUGUGCUUAGUUUACACUGAAUACCAAGAGAUGGGUGGGAUUGCUGUGCAUAUAUAUUAGCAGGAUUUUGGCUGGAGGCCACUUGUGACCUCUAUUGAAUGUAACUUCCUCACUCAGGAGUUGAUAUGGAACCACUCACUCCUAUUGGCUCAGUGCCCAGAAGGCCUCAGAGAGAGCCCACAAGAUCAACCCGACAGACCCCGGCUUUCCAAAUAAAGAAACGCACCCCACCCCACCCCAGGGUAGGGGUCUUUGUGGGUCCUGCCUAC
rnacentral:antisense_RNA from 1 species